rnacentral:lncRNA from 1 species
AAUUACUAGACCUAGGCUCUUGAUAACAAUUGAAGGAAAAUUUGUGAAAAACAUGUUCAUUUGAGCAACAUCUAUGGCAUGCAAUUAACAAUUAAAGGCAGAAUCAUACUUGUAUGCACUAAAAACAAAACAUUACCCAUGAAAUUCAAAGCCUAGUAGUUAUGUGAACCAAGACUCAACUCAAGAACAAAGUGAGUUGAGAAAUUUUAUACCUUUGAAGAACCUCUUUGCUUAGCAAAGGUUAAUCACCCAUGUGAGGGCCAUCUUUCCUUUGUCACCUUACUCCUUGGCUCCAUGGAUGUGGGUGGAGG